CUGGUCUUGAAUUCAGAGAGGUCUGGAGAGAUGGCUCGGUGGUUAAGAACACUUCUUGCUCUUGAAGAGGACCUGGGUUCAGUUCCCAGCACCCACGUGGUGGCUCACAAGCAUCUGCAACUGCUUCCAAUGUCCUCUUCUGACUUCCACAGGCACCAGGCAUUCAUGCAGUAUAAAUUCAUGCAGGCAAAGCACUCAUGCAUUUAAAAAUGAACCAAUUUUUUUUUUUUUUUGAGACAGGAUUUCUCUGUGUGUGUCCUUCACUGUGUGUGCUGUAACUCACUCUGUAGCCAGGCUGGCCCAAACUCUGAGUGCUUGGAUUAAGGGCAUGCACUGCCACCAUCUGGCUUGUUUCCUUUGUUUUUGGCAAAUAAAUAAAUCUCUAAAAAAAAAAA
rnacentral:lncRNA from 1 species